UACAGAGGGGGCAAGCGUUGUUCGGAAUUACUGGGCGUAAAGGGUCUGUAGGUGGCCAACUAAGUCCGACGUGAAAUCCCUCAGCUUAACUGGGGAACUGCGUCUGAUGCUGGAUGGCUCGAGUGUGGGAGAGGAAUGCGGAAUUCCAGGUGUAGCGGUGAAAAGCGUAGAUAUCUGGAGGAACACCGGUGGCGAAGGCGGCAGGCUGGACCAUAACUGACACUGAGGUGCGAAAGCGUGGGGAGCAAACAGG
rnacentral:rRNA from 1 species